GACAGAGGGUGCAAACGUUGUUCGGAAUUACUGGGCGUAAAGCGCGUGUAGGCGGCUAUCGCAAGUCGGGUGUGAAAGCCCUGGGCUCAACCUAGGAAGUGCACUCGAAACUGCGAAGCUUGAAGUCUGGAGAGGAACGCGGAAUUCUCGGUGUAGAGGUGAAAUUCGUAGAUAUCGAGAGGAACACCGGUGGCGAAGGCGGCGUUCUGGACAGCACUUGACGCUGAGACGCGAAAGCGUGGGGAGCAAACAGG
rnacentral:rRNA from 1 species